CGAGACGGUAGUAAAAGAGGGAAAAACUCCUUUACAUUUCGACAUUUUUUAUACUAAAUCCCAUUUAUUUUGUAGUUAAUUGUUAGAUAAGGUCAUAACUUCGUCAAGUUUUCGUUACAGGCCUUUAAACAUCUGAUAAAUGUGUACUACAAAAAAGGUUUUCUGUGCUAUGUGCUAUAAGUCUGAGGUAGGACUAUCCUUGUGGUUUGAGUGGAACAAUGGGGGUAUUGAGACCAAAAUAAACAAUGUGCCACUCUAGACAGCUGUGGACAAAAAUAUGCAGUCAGAGUAGCCUAUUUUCUCAAACAGAAAGAGAAUUCCAGGCCAAAAGGACUCAACAGAGACAGCAUUAUGAGGAGCAACCAGUACAUCAAAGCAAAAAGAUGCUAUGAUGUUGUCUGAGGCACCUUAUUUUCCAUGUCCUUCACAAUCACAACUGCAGCACACCAGUCAAUUUCUUCCAUUCGGAAGAAUCAGGUUAGAAGACAGCGGAAAGAAUUGGCAUCGCAGAGACACACACCAAGAGACACACACACACAGGCAGCUGAAGCGAGUUUGACUGACGUGCACAGGAGAUCAGGCACGUGCACGGAAGGUCGUGCACGCACACACAAACAUGGAGCACAGCAUAAUUACAACUGUUGGAUUAAAAUAAAAGUACU